AGGAAAAAAGAUUAAUUCCAGA
rnacentral:miRNA from 1 species